rnacentral:rRNA from 1 species
GUGAGGAAUAUUGGUCAAUGGGCGCGAGCCUGAACCAGCCAAGUCGCGUGAGGGAUGACGGCCCUACGGGUUGUAAACCUCUUUUGUCGGGGAGCAAAUUCCGCCACGUGUGGCGGAGUCGAGAGUACCCGAAGAAAAAGCAUCGGCUAACUCCGUGCCAGCAGCCGCGGUAAUACGGAGGAUGCGAGCGUUAUCCGGAUUUAUUGGGUUUAAAGGGUGCGUAGGCGGACUGUCAAGUCAGCGGUAAAAUACGGGGGCUCAACCUCCGCCCGCCGUUGAAACUGACGGUCUUGAGUGGGCGAGAAGUAUGCGGAAUGCGUGGUGUAGCGGUGAAAUGCAUAGAUAUCACGCAGAACUCCGAUUGCGAAGGCAGCAUACCGGCGCCCGACUGACGCUGAAGCACGAAAGCGUGGGUAUCGAACAGGAUUAGAAACCCGGGUAGUCC